AUGUUUUCCUCCUCUGAAAGGACAAAGGCACGUCGUGUUCUCCUGGGGGCUGUGGGGACGUUUAGGAAGAACCCAGACGCUGUUUGUCCGAUCGGCGCCAGCCAGGAGAGAAUGGAGGCUCAAAAAGAUCCCCGACCAUGCUCAGCCUACAGGUGUGGUUUGCAUGAAAAUCUCAGGCCUGUAGGUCACAGCUUGCCAUUGACAUGCGCUCAAUGCUUGGCAUCUGGCAGUGCCACCCAAGGCAGUCUGUGCCUGUCCUUGCUGUGUUCAACCAUGACAAUGCCCGUGUUGCUGCCUGGUGAUAAUCAAGUAAGUCAGACCAGAAGACAAGAACAACAUCCUGGUAUCCCAAAAUACAACUUUGCACCUGCAAAUGCAGUUGUGCUGCUUGGGGGCGGGGAGUCGGGGGGGUGGCGGUCUCUGGCUGCAGGACCUUCCCAUUCCUUUCCAUUGGACUAAAGGCCUCUAGUUUUGGUUGUACUUUUGGCUUCAUCGGUGCCAAAUUUUACCAAAUUUAACUUCCCGCAAAUCACAGCUCCUCAAUGUUCCUUUCUGACUGAACAGCAGCCAUGUGCUGCAGCUGCAAAGGGCAACUUUGAGGGGUGGCGGGAAGGGACAUCCUCACUAUCCUCUUUGAGCCCUCCAGAAGUGUACUGAGAUUUGGGGUUGGGACUGAAAUGUCCAGACCAAGAAGAAGCUAUGAUGAUCAGAGAUCAGAGACCAUCUUACCACUAAGAUAUCAGAGCGCUGGAGCCCCAUUCCUGGAGGCAUUCAAGGCCAGGCGGGAUGUGGCCCUGGGCAGCCUGGUCUGGUGGCUGGUGACCCUGCACAUAGCAGGGGGUUGGAAUUGGGUGAGCACUGUGGUCCUUUUCAACCCAGGCCAUUCUAGGAUUCAGUGAUUCUAUGAUCCCAUGACUCAAGCUGCUGUACCCCAUGCCAUAGUUCCUCACAGUGCUGUGAACACACAGGUAUGUGUUCUUCACUCCACAAACAAAGAGGAAAUAUUUGACCUGACCCAGACAAAGAAAAAAAACCCAACCACCCAACCAAAAAGAAGAAGCCAAAAGAAAAAGGUUCCUUCAGUUUUGUAAUCCUUUAUUUUCCUUUUUUUUUUUUAAGUUGAUCCUCCCAUAGUAAUGUACUGAAAUGCGUAACAGUUACAUUGUACAAAGCAUUUAAAGAAAGUACCUCAACUUGCCGAUUAUUCCAAAAUGAGAUUAUAAACAAAAGGAAAAGAAAUCUGGUCCCUCACUAAAGGCCAAAAAAAAACCCCAAAAAUAACUGAAUGCCUUCCGUUCUUUAUUUAUUUUCUUUUUAAACAUAAAUUUGGAACACUUCAUCUUACAAAUAGGAUUAACAUGAACAUAACAUCACACAAGCUCGCAGACAACCAGCAUAAAAUAUUGGGUACAGUUUUUAAUCAGAAGAAUCAUGCUUUCAUGAAGAAAUUAUAACUGUUUAUACAAUUGAAUCAAUUUACCGUAUUACAAAACAAAAAAGAACUAAGUCGCAUCUAUCAGUUAUUCAGUUCAUUAAAAGGAAAAAAUAAAAUAAAAUAAAAGAGGAAUGUAAGAAAAUAU
rnacentral:lncRNA from 1 species